rnacentral:rRNA from 1 species
CUGAGUACGGCGGAACACGUGAAAUUCCGUCGGAAUCCGGGAGGACCAUCUCCCAAGGCUAAAUACUCCCUAGUGACCGAUAGUGAACCAGUACCGUGAGGGAAAGGUGAAAAGCACCCCGGAAGGGGAGUGAAACAGUUCCUGAAACCGUGUGCCUACAAGUAGUUAGAGCCCGUUAAUGGGUGAUAGCGUGCCUUUUGUAGAAUGAACCGGCGAGUUACGAUUUGUUGCAAGGUUAAGCGGAAAAAGCGGAGCCGUAGCGAAAGCGAGUCUGAAUAGGGCGCAUAAGUAACAGGUCGUAGACCCGAAACCAGGUGAUCUACCCAUGUCCAGGAUGAAGGUAAGGUAAUACUUACUGGAGGUCCGAACCCACGCACGUUGAAAAGUGCGGGGAUGAGGUGUGGGUAGCGGAGAAAUUCCAAUCGAACUUGGAGAUAGCUGGUUCUCUCCGAAAUAGCUUUAGGGCUAGCCUCGAGGUAAAGAGUCAUGGAGGUAGAGCACUGUUUGGACUAGGGGCCCUUCUCGGGUUACCGAAUUCAGAUAAACUCCGAAUGCCAUGUACUUAUACUCGGGAGUCAGACUGCGAGUGAUAAGAUCCGUAGUCGAAAGGGAAACAGCCCAGACCACCAGUUAAGGUCCCCAAAUAUAUGUUAAGUGGAAAAGGAUGUGGGGUUGCUUAGACAACCAGGAUGUUGGCUUAGAAGCAGCCACCAUUGAAAGAGUGCGUAAUAGCUCACUGGUCGAGUGACCCCGCGCCGAAAAUGUACCGGGGCUAAACAUAUUACCGAAACUGUGGAUGAACCUCUUUAGAGGUUCGUGGUAGGAGAGCGUUCUAAGGGCGGUGAAGUCAGACCGGAAGGACUGGUGGAGCGCUUAGAAGUGAGAAUGCCGGUAUGAGUAGCGAAAGAAGGGUGAGAAUCCCUUCCACCGAAUAUCUAAGGUUUCCUGAGGAAGGCUCGUCCGCUCAGGGUUAGUCGGGACCUAAGCCGAGGCCGAUAGGCGUAGGCGAUGGACAACAGGUAGAGAUUCCUGUACCAGUGCUAAUUGUUUAACCGAUGGGGUGACACAGAAGGAUAGGGAAUCGCACGAAUGGAAAUGUGCGUCCAAGCAGUGAGUGUGAGAAGUAGGCAAAUCCGCUUCUCGCGAAGCAUGAGCUGUGAUGGGGAAGGAAAUUAAGUACGGAAGUUCCUGAUUUCACGCUGUCAAGAAAAGCCUCUAGGAAGAGUAGUACUGCCCGUACCGCAAACCGACACAGGUAGAUGAGGAGAGAAUCCUAAGGUGAGCGAGAGAACUCUCGUUAAGGAACUCGGCAAAAUGACCCCGUAACUUCGGGAGAAGGGGUGCUCUAUUAGGGUGCAAGCCCGAGAGAGCCGCAGUGAAUAGGCCCAGGCGACUGUUUAGCAAAAACACAGGUCUCUGCAAAACCGUAAGGUGACGUAUAGGGGCUGACGCCUGCCCGGUGCUGGAAGGUUAAGAGGAGUGCUUAGCUUCGGCGAAGGUACGAAUUGAAGCCCCAGUAAACGGCGGCCGUAACUAUAACGGUCCUAAGGUAGCGAAAUUCCUUGUCGGGUAAGUUCCGACCCGCACGAAAGGCGCAACGAUCUGGGCACUGUCUCAACGAGAGACUCGGUGAAAUUAUAGUACCUGUGAAGAUGCAGGUUACCCGCGACAGGACGGAAAGACCCCGUGGAGCUUUACUGCAACCUGAUAUGGAAUGUUUGUACCGCUUGUACAGGAUAGGUAGGAGCCGAAGAGACGUGUGCGCUAGCAUACGAGGAGGCAAUGGUGGGAUACUACCCUGGCUGUAUGACCAUUCUAACCCGCCACGCUUAGCGCGUGGGGAGACAGUGUCAGGUGGGCAGUUUGACUGGGGCGGUCGCCUCCUAAAGAGUAACGGAGGCGCCCAAAGGUUCCCUCAGAAUGGAUGGAAAUCAUUCGCAGAGUGUAAAGGCACAAGGGAGCUUGACUGCGAGACUGACAAGUCGAGCAGGGACGAAAGUCGGGCUUAGUGAUCCGGUGGUUCCGCAUGGAAGGGCCAUCGCUCAACGGAUAAAAGCUACCCCGGGGAUAACAGGCUUAUCUCCCCCAAGAGUCCACAUCGACGGGGAGGUUUGGCACCUCGAUGUCGGCUCGUCGCAUCCUGGGGCUGUAGUCGGUCCCAAGGGUUGGGCUGUUCGCCCAUUAAAGCGGCACGCGAGCUGGGUUCAGAACGUCGUGAGACAGUUCGGUCCCUAUCCGUCGCGGGCGCAGGAAAUUUGAGAGGAGCUGUCCUUAGUACGAGAGGACCGGGAUGGACACACCGCUGGUGUACCAGUUGUUCCGCCAGGAGCAUCGCUGGGUAGCUAUGUGUGGCAGGGAUAAACGCUGAAAGCAUCUAAGCGUGAAGC